rnacentral:sRNA from 1 species
GAUGGACUCCGAAGGCCGGGUCUCUUGGUUGUGCACCUUUAAAGGUGGUUUGGAAGAAUUAGAUGACUCCAGAUAGUUUUAGAAAACUCCAUCUGACUUCUCUACAGACAGAGGAGAGCAGCCGGAACACUGACGGAGAAUUUGAGGACUUGGCUAGGAAUGCCAUCUUCAGAAUUCUGACCUCUCAGAGCCCAGAGAGAACCACAAGCUGGGGACUGCACUUUGUUAGGUAGCCUGAAGACCCAUCCAAAAUACCAUGGAAGGAGGGCAUUGAACAUGCAGGUAAGCAGUGUAUUCAAAAUGUCCAAAAGAAGGAGGUAUUUUACUGAUGGGCCACAAGACACCAGGGGUCCUUUCAAGCUAUAGUGUAUGUCAAGUGAAUGGAGGCAGCUAGUAAGGGGGUCCGUUUAUGGAAUUACAUUUAGAUCAUGGAUUCAGGCCCUAGACAAAAAGAAGACAGGGCCCUUAUCAAGCAGGAGGAUAUAAACUAAGAGAUCAAGAUUCAUUUACAGAGAAGGUAGGUACCAAGAUGUGAUUGACUGCCACAGUGCAAAUGGCUUCCUUUGGUUUACCAUUAGGUCAAGCUGAAACCCCAUGUCAUCAAGGUCCUUGAUGGGGGUGAGAGAGAUGCUCAGUGGGGUAGAAAGUGGAAACAAUAGGAAAGCCUGAACUCUACACCAUCAGUGGCCUUGGAGUUCCCAUCUUCAGUUGACAAACACCAAAUGCAGAUUUGCACAAGGUUAGUGGAUAGGCAGGUAGGAUGUGCAUAUUGACAGUCUUCUCGAGACCUCAGAGGAUUGCAGCAAGAUGCUGGGUGGGGGACUAUAAUACCCAUAUCAAAGGUGCCCAGGAGCACCUUAAAGGGAGAACUGCAUAGAUCCUCUAGCCCACCAAGGAACCCUAAGCAGUUGAGUAUAGUUGAACUAUAGUUCAAGGAGACUGGGAUUUUGUAGAGCAGUUGGCACAGACAAUUAUCAGGUGCUUUUCUUCUGAGCACUAACAUCUCUGCGUAUCUAUAAACUUCUGGUAGUCAUAGGGAACUUCUACAACAGGGGCCAUCACUCUCCAGGGAAACUCACUGGGCAACAUGGAGACUAUCCUGUUGUGUCUGCAUGAUCUUCCCUGGAGAAGGCUUUGGGCUUUAAUGUCAGACAGAAAUAGUUGCCAAUUUUUACUUUACUUCUUAUGAAUUGAGCUUGAACAAAUGCUACAGACCCACUGAUGCAGUUUCCUCAGGAUGAUUCUUACCUGAUUGGGUUGCUUUGGUGGGUUUUACAUUGUAUAGUUAUUCACUAAUAUAAUGUAACACGAACCUCUCAUAUUUAGUCGCAUACAAAAAUUAUGUGUGCAGAACUGUGGAUCAGGAAUUUGGACAGAACAGCAAGCGUGGCUACUUGCCUCUUACCUGUACCAGUUAUUUUUCUCACUGUGCGACAAAUUCCUCACGUAGCAGCUUAAUGGAGGAGGGUUUAUUUUGGUUGUGGUUUCAGGAUGGCAUUGUCCUUCAGAAAGGAGAACAUAUGGCUCAGGCUAUGGAUGUGGGUGGGUACAGCUGUUGCUUAUCCCAUUGCGGCAGAUCAGGAUGUAGACGAUGAGAACAGAAGCUGACAUAGGCAUCUGCAAAGCCCAUCCUCCAUGACCCCUCUCCACUGACUAGACCUCAGCCAUCUUCCCAAACAACUCUUUGGCUGGGAUCAUGAGUUUCAAACCAUACCACUCCACGAUGCGAGUCUAUUAGUAGAGGGGGAUACCUGAGACUAGGUAAUUUUAUAAGAGUUUACUCAUCUCACAGUUCUAUAUGUUUUGCUGUUUCCAUGAGGCCUCAUUUUGAGAAACCCAGCAUUUCUGGGACCUACCUUAGUUCCUUUGGAGUGGAGCUUCUGGUGACUUCCCAUAGAGUCCCACACCUCUGAAAAAUACCAUGAGGAACAAUCCUUUCGUACAACAGCCCUGAGAAGACAAACCACAUGUAAACCACUUGCAGGGGUCAGCAAGAUGCCUCAACAGAUAGAGACGCCGUGAAGCCCGAUGACCAGAAUUCAAGUCCACGGCGUCCACAUGGUAGAAGUCAAGAGCUGACUCUAGAAGUUUGUCUUCUGACUACCACACACACGCUGUGCCACGCCUGUCUCCCUCCCCAGGGAAUGAGUAAGUAGCGGGAAAGCAUCGAACCACUUCCAAACCAUUGCACUCUCUCGAUCUGAACACCCAGGCUAGGGUCUUAGACACUGAGCAUUAAGGCUUCUCAGUUACAAGGUGGGGGCUUCCAAGUUAGUAGGACAAUGGACUCAUACGAUGCCAGGACCAUGGCAGGUGCCCACAGUCAGUGGGGCUUUCUUUUAUCACGACCAUCAUCUGGAGACACAUGAAUCAGAUCAGUUCUUCUGUGGCCUCUUGGCGGUGUACCGAUUCUGCCUUUUUUACUUGUGGCCUGGAGAAAUAGCGAUUCCCAACUUCCUAAGGCAGUAUUUCAAGAUUCACUGACUGUGUGUGUACCUGUGAUUCUCAAGUGUGCCUACCUACCGCCAUCAGUAAAUGGUGGCAAAGAGUAUGACCUGUUCUCAUCGGAACUCAUGUUGAAGUUUAAUUCCAGAUGCAAGAAAAGCCAUCAGUGUCCCCUGUUCUCCACUGUCACAAUAUUAGUUUGUCUGCCCUGCCUCACACUGCCCACCAUGAUGCAGGGGACCCACUGAAGUCAUCAACGAACUUCCGCCUGACACGUGAUGCAGCCAGGGAACCCUCACUGAACCUUCUAGCCAUCAGAAUCGGGGCUCAGGUUCCAGAGCUGGUGUCACAUACCCUUGCCUCAGCCUAGAGGUUUGCCUAUCAGGAAACAAGGCUGGCACCUUCUACAGCGGGUUCUGGGAUUUAGGAUUAGCCAGGAAUCAGCACAGUCUGGGAGAGCAAUGGAAGAUCACAGUAUUCACGAACAAGGACAGAUUGACCCGGGACAGGACACAGAACAUACUGUUCCGAGCCAUGGAGCAGAGAAAGGUUUCUCAGUGUCUACCCCACAGACUGGCAGCAUCUAUCCCUCUUUUCGGUGACAGAACUCUUGACUGCCACAAGUCAUGCAGCUGACUUUCCUGCCUUCAGAGGAGUCACGGGUUAACAUGCCUAGACUGCGAUGGAUGAGCCUCAUCUUGGGAAAAUCACCCUCAUGACCACGAGAUCUCCCCUGCCAGGAGGAGCAACAGUGUGGCAUAAAGUUAACCAUGAUCCUAGGAGUCACACAGCCCAGGCUCAAACAUGACUUCUUGUUUCCAGCUGAUCAGUCCGUCUUAGAUGUGAUGUGAUCAGCUGCCUUAAACUCCUGUAGAUUUGACUUCCUGGCUGUGACCGUCUUCACCUUGAACUGAACUGACAACCUCUCCCUCAUGGAGGACUCCCAGCCAGCCAGUAUCAGCCACGGAUGCUCGCCCUAGCAUCUCUCAAGCCCUUGCUGGGAUAUUGUGGGUCACUAGACUGCAGAGCGACAGCAGAGGUGUGUGGCCAUUUCUUGCUCGUGGUGGCAAAUGCAGGGUGCAGGACUUCUAUGGAGAUGCUCGGCUUUUCUGGGUACACUGCUUCUCAUUGUGUAAAUACGAAAUGUCCUCCAGAAGCCAUGUUUGAACCCUUAAGCCCCACGUGGUGACGGCGGGAAGGCGACAGAACCAUUAGGGUGCUGCUUUGCUGGAAGUGCUUCAUCGCUUGGCUUUGGUAUUUUAGUUGGCAUUUGUCUAUUUUUACUUUAUAUUUUCUUUCUCUGCUUCCUGGGUGUGAACGAAAUGGGAUCACUCUGCUCCCUGGCUGCCGAGCCAGCCUCUCGUUCCGGCAUUGGUGUGCUUUCCCCGCUAGGAUAGACUCUACGUCAUCUGGAACUGUAAGCCAGAAUAAACCAUUUCUUCGGCAAGCUACCCUGUUGUAGUAAUUGUUAGAAAAGAAUCUAGCAUGGCAUUAGCGGGUACAUUCAUCUCAGCAGCUGCCUGUCCCAGGGUACCCUGUCAUGCUACCCCCAACUAUUUCCUGUCCCCAGCGGUCUGUCCACCCCAGGUAGUCGCAUGCCAUGGCCGCCCCUUCCUGGCUGGCUCUCUGCCUCGAACUCUGCUCACAUUCCCUGUAACCUGGUAAAAUCGAGACCCAAAAAGCUUAUUAAUUUAGCAAUCAGAUUUAUAUGUUGAAUUUUCAAUCCACAAUACAUCCACACAAUAAACUCAGAGCCGAGUGA